rnacentral:rRNA from 1 species
AAAGUUAGUGGCGGACGGGUGAGUAACGCGUGAGGAACCUGCCUUACACAGGGGGAUAACGUUUGGAAACGAACGCUAAUACCGCAUAAGACCACGCUAUCGCAUGAUAGAGCGGUCAAAGGAGCAAUCCGGUGUAAGAUGGCCUCGCGUCCGAUUAGAUAGUUGGCGGGGUAACGGCCCACCAAGUCGACGAUCGGUAGCCGGACUGAGAGGUUGAACGGCCACAUUGGGACUGAGACACGGCCCAGACUCCUACGGGAGGCAGCAGUGAGGAAUAUUGCACAAUGGGGGGAACCCUGAUGCAGCAACGCCGCGUGGAGGAUGACGGUUUUCGGAUUGUAAACUCCUGUCCUUAGGGAAGAAAGAAAUGACGGUACCUAGGGAGGAAGCCACGGCUAACUACGUGCCAGCAGCCGCGGUAAUGCGUAGGUGGCGAGCGUUAUCCGGAAUUACUGGGUGUAAAGGGAGCGCAGGCGGGAAGACAAGUCAGCGGUGAAAUUUAUGGGCUUAACCCAUAAACUGCCGUUGAAACUGUUUUUCUUGAGUGGAGUAGAGGCAAGUGGAAUUCCUAGUGUAGCGGUGAAAUGCGUAGAUAUUAGGAAGAACACCGGUGGCGAAGGCGACUUGCUGGGCUCUAACUGACGCUGAGGCUCGAAAGUGUGGGGAGCAAACAGGAUUAGAUACCCUGGUAGUCCACACUGUAAACGAUGAUAGCUAGGUGUGGGAUUAGUUAACGAUUCCGUGCCGGAGUUAACGCAAUAAGCUAUCCACCUGGGGAGUACGGUCGCAAGACUGAAACUCAAAGGAAUUGACGGGAGCCCGCACAAGCAGUGGAGUAUGUGGUUUAAUUCGACGCAACGCGAAGAACCUUACCAGGACUUGACAUCCUGAGAACCCGAGAUAAUGAUCGGGGUGCCCUUCGGGGAAUUCAGAGACAGGUGGUGCAUGGUUGUCGUCAGCUCGUGUCGUGAGAUGUUGGGUUAAGUCCCGCAACGAGCGCAACCCCUACGGUCAGUUGCUACGCAAGAGCACUCUGGCCGGACUGCCGUUGACAAAACGGAGGAAGGCGGGGACGACGUCAAAUCAUCAUGCCCCUUACGUUCUGGGCUACACACGUACUACAAUGGCGAGAACAAAGGGAAGCAAUACCGCGAGGCGGAGCGAACCCCAUAAAAAUCGUCCCAGUUCGGACUGCAGGCUGCAACCCGCCUGCACGAAGUUGGAAUUGCUAGUAAUCGCGGAUCAGCAUGCCGCGGU